rnacentral:lncRNA from 1 species
AUGAUCUCUCUGAAUCCACCCAAAAACUACUGCCCAAAACCUUCUUCUUUUCUUCUUAUUGAGACUUUUCUAUUUUUUGGGGUCCCUCUUGUCCUAUGGCUUGUUCCUUGGGAGAAGAGACCGACCCCCACCUCUCCACACCCUCCUUCCAGGGAGUUGGAGAGAGCGAGAAGGUCUCCCCUCAGCCUCCUCGUCUCCAGGCUGAACCCCCCCAGCUCCCUCAGAAGUUCUCCAGCCCCUUCUCCUUGGUCUCCAGACCCCUCCCCAGCUCUCUCGCCCUUCCCCGGACCCUCUCCAGCCCCUCAAGGUCUUUCCUGUCAUGAGGAACCCAAAACUGGAGCCAGCCCUCGAGGUGGGACCUCCCCAGUGCCGAGUCGAGGGGGAGGAUGGAGGUUUGGGGGCAGAAAGAGUGGAGGUUUGGAGCCCAAGCAGUUGAGGUUGGCCACAAAGGGUCAAGAAUGGGGCCCAAAACUCAUCAAAGGGCUGGACAAAGAGUCAAGAUUGGGGCCAAAACUGGUGAAGGGAGGCACAAACAAUCAAGAUUUGGGCAAAAGCUGGUCAACGCUUUGGCAAAGGGUCAAGAUUUGGGCAAAAGCUGGUCAACACUUUGGCAAACGGUCAAGAUUUGGGCAAAAAUUGGUCAACGCUUUGGCAAAGAGUCAAGAUUUGGGCAAAAGCUGGUCAAGGCUUUGGCAAAGGGUCAAGAUUUGGGCAAAAGCUGGUCAACGCUUUGGCAAAGGGUCAAGAUUUGGGCAAAAGCUGGUCAACGCUUUGGCAAAGAGUCAAGAUUUGGGCAAAAGCUGGUCAACGCUUUGGCAAAGAGUCAAGAUUUGGGCAAAAGGUCAAGAUUUGGGCAAAAGGUCAAGAUUUGGGCAAAAGCUGGUCAACGCUUUGGCAAAGAGUCAAGAUUUGGGCAAAAGCUGGUCAACGCUUUGGCAAAGAGUCAAGAUUUGGGCAAAAGCUGGUCAACACUUUGGUAAACAGUCAAGAUUUGGGCAAAAGCUGGUCAACGCUUUGGUAAAGAGUCAAGAUUUGGGCAAAAGCUGGUCAACACUUUGGCAAAGAGUCAAGAUUUGGGCAAAAGCUGGUCAACACUUUGGCAAAGGGUCAAGAUUUGGGCAAAAGCUGGUCAACAGUUUGGUAAACAGUCAAGAUUUGGGCAAAAGGUCAAGAUUUGGGCAAAAGCUGGUCAACACGUUGUCAAAGGGUCAAGAUUCUCUUCUCCAACCCCAAAAGCCCCAAGUCCUUCAGCGUCUCCUCCAGACCCUCCUCAUCCUCUGCCGUCCCCUCUCCACCAGUUCCUUCUCCUUCUGCGACUGGAAAUGACCUCCCUUGAGGUUCUCCACCCUCUUCUUGAUGCCCCUCCAAGAAGAUGCCAUUGACCCUUCUUGGGCCACCGGGACCCAUCGUUGGCUCCUGGGCAUCUUGGUGGCCACCAGGACCCCCCACCCCCCCAAAACCUCUCCUGGGUUUUUUUUUGGGGGGGGGAGGGGGGUUUAAUUCCUCCCCCAGGUGAAAUCUCCCCACUCGACCUUGACCUUCAUCAGGUUCCUCUUGGUCCAACCCAAUUUUGGGGGGGUUUU